GCAGGGCCUCUUCUCGAGCGCUGAUUUCCAGGGUGCUGUUCCAGAUGCCAUAUCCAAAAUAAAUGAGCAGACCUGUGGGGCGAGGGGAAAGAUAAGUAAACUGAGGCCCAAAGAAGUUAAGUAAAUUUCCCAAAGUCACAAGACAAAGGAGGGGCAGAGCUGUGAUUUGAAGUUGGUGCUGUUUGACUCCAAAGAUCUCCCUCUAUGAAAAUAUUUUGGAGGUUAU
rnacentral:lncRNA from 10 species